UUGGGAAUAUUGGACAAUGGAGGAAACUCUGAUCCAGUGACGCCGCGUGAAGGAAGAAGGUCUUCGGAUUGUAAACUUAUUUUGUCAGGGAAGAAAAAAAUGACUGUACCUGAAGAAAAAGGACCGGCUAACUACGUGCCAGCAGCCGCGGUAAUACGUAGGGUCCAAGCGUUAUCCGGAUUUACUGGGUGUAAAGGGCGAGUAGACGGCAUAGCAAGUCAGAUGUGAAAACUUAGGGCUCAACCUUAAGCGUGCAUCUGAAACUGUUAAGCUAGAGUGCAGAAGAGGUAAGUGGAAUUCCUAGUGUAGCGGUAAAAUGCAUAGAUAUUAGGAGGAACACCAGUGGCGAAGGCGACUUACUGGGCUGUAACUGACGUUGAGGAGCGAAAGUGUGGGGAGCAAACAGG
rnacentral:rRNA from 1 species